UUUCUCUUUCACUGCAGUCUCUGUAUAUUAGCUGUCUCUACUAAAUACUCUUCCAUUUUCCUCAUCUCUCUCUCUCCCCCCUUUUCACUUCAUUGAUUAACUCUUUAUACGUAUAUAUACACACUUUCAAACUCCUAUCACACCCCCAAUUUCGUGAUCCUCUUCACAAUUUCAACUCUGCUUUCCCUUUCGCUUUGUUUGUUGAUUUAUGCGUGUAUUUCCGCGUGUGAAAACGUACAUACACUCGUAACUGCUGCUGUACAAUACAUGUGUUGGCACAAAUCCCUACGCCGUUGGCCAAAAUUACUAUUCCAUAUCUACCUAAAAAGGGCUCCGCCUAUGGAAUUCUCGAAUUCGAGCUCUGGAUUCCGCCGCGAAAGUUGAGAUUUUUGGUUUUCAUCUCUUCCUGACUGAUUCUGAUCCAGAUUUUGCGUUGGAGAAGAUGUUGCAACAUAAAGAGGCCUUAUAUCUCUUGAGCAAAGCAGCUUCAUGGAUAUCAUGCCAAAACGAUUAAAGACGGAUGACUCUCUUUCUUCAAAGG